rnacentral:lncRNA from 10 species
CCCAUAUCAGGGUUAGUUAUGCUGUCCCAGUGGCCCCAUGGUCCCCGGCUACUAUGUCUGCUAUAAUGCACCAAAUUGUGUUAAUGGUUGAUGUGAUCACGUGAUUUUGCCCCAACUCCAGGUGAAUUCCUUGGAAGAUGAGGGCCAAGUCUUAUUCUUCUCAGUCUCUUCUGCAUCUAGCAGAAGAAUAAUGGUUGCACAGAAAAUCUUGGUUCAGUGGUUGAGUGAAUGAAUGGAUGAACAGGCUCUUGCACACAAAGAAGAGACAUGAUGUAUUUGCAUCCUUCCCUGCUUCAGCCAGUUUUCUGAAGCUCAGAGGGACACCUUGUAUUGCUGGAUGAUAAAAACAGGAGCAAAGUGAUGAAGUGCUGACAAGGCAACAAUAGAACAUGAGAGAUUCACUGCUGUGUAGGAAGAGAUCUUCGGUGACCAUGUAGCCUGAAGCUCUCAUUUUGUCAUCGAGGGACACCAAAACUCAGAACAGUGCUAAGCUCCUACAUCCUGUUCUGGAAGGACAAUCCUGAGCACACGAUGAGCCAUAUAAACUUCAGACUGACGCUGAGUGAAAGAAUGCUGGAAAAGCAUCACAGGCCAGGGCAGCAAAGUCUUCAAGGUCAUCCGUGCUCUGAUGAUGUCACGCUUCUUCCCUGUCUGGAAGACAUUUCCCCAAGAGCAUACCACCAACAUCAGGGAAAUGGAAUCCAACUGGUCGCUGCAAAGUUUGCUGAGCACACAGUGAUAAAGAUGGCAAGAAGGUCCUGAGAGAAACGCAAUAUUUUUGUGCAGAAUGGGAUGUUCUGCCUUUGUCCCAUGCUUUGAA